GGAGGUUUUGUUUGUUCUGUGCUUACUAGUUCUCUUGCAGUUCAUGGAGAGUGCAGUGGGCGGAGACUGGAUGGACUCACCUGGGAGCAGUUACCUGCUAAUUGAGGACAAGUAUUUAAGCUGCUUCCUGAGAUCCAUCCUGCGCUGGAUUAUUCAGUCGCCUUGGCUCUGAGCCCUGAGUCUCUGGUUCCCUUCGUGAUUGGAUCCCUCUGCAGAAGAACUGUGAGUUCUGGGUCCAAUAUCCAAACUGGAACCUUUUUGUUGUCCUCCGCCCUGCUCUCUCUCCGCCCAUACGAACUGCUGGAAAAGAUCUAAAAGAACAACGACUAACUCUGCAAACAAACCUACCUCAACAAGCCUCCACCARCUCCUCUCAGAGCCUGUCUCCAGAUCCACCCUGCGUAAGACAAACAAACAAACAAAUCAAUAUUCAAAGUCAUUUAAUUACUCGACACCUCCUCUCAAUCAUUCCUUUUUGCCUUUCAGCUUUUCACCGAAUUCACCUGUAAAUAAACUCACUGAACUUUUA